GACCUGAUAGCAUAAUGGUUAGUGCGUCUGCUCUACUUAGUAGAAUAGGUAAAAAAUGUAUAAGCAGAAGAUCACCCGUUCGAUUCGGGGUCAGGUCA